UAACCGUAUAGGGGAGCCGGAGGGAAACCGAGUCUUAACUGGGCGUUAAGUUGCAGGGUAUAGACCCGAAACCCGGUGAUCUAGCCAUGGGCAGGUUGAAGGUUGGGUAACACUAACUGGAGGACCGAACCGACUAAUGUUGAAAAAUUAGCGGAUGACCUGUGGCUGGGGGUGAAAGGCCAAUCAAACCGGGAGAUAGCUGGUUCUCCCCGAAAGCUAUUUAGGUAGCGCCUCGUGAACUCAUCUCCGGGGGUAGAGCACUGUUUCGGCUAGGGGGUCAUCCCGACUUACCAACCCGAUGCAAACUGCGAAUACCGAAGAAUGUUAUCACGGGAGACACACGGCGGGUGCUAACGUCCGUCGUGAAGAGGGAAACAACCCAGACCGCCAGCUAAGGUCCCAAAGUCACAGUUAAGUGGGAAACGAUGUGGGAAGGCCCAGACAGCCAGGAUGUUGGCUUAGAAGCAGCCAUCAUUUAAAGAAAGCGUAAUAGCUCACUGGUCGAGUCGGCCUGCGCGGAAGAUGUAACGGGGCUAAACCAUGCACCGAAGCUGCGGCAGCGACGCUGAUGCGUUGUUGGGUAGGGGAGCGUUCUGUAAGCCUGUGAAGGUGGCCUGUGAGGGUUGCUGGAGGUAUCAGAAGUGCGAAUGCUGACAUAAGUAACGAUAAAGCGGGUGAAAAGCCCGCUCGCCGGAAGACCAAGGGUUCCUGUCCAACGUUAAUCGGGGCAGGGUGAGUCGACCCCUAAGGCGAGGCCGAAAGGCGUAGUCGAUGGGAAACGGGUUAAUAUUCCCGUACUUGGUGUUACUGCGAAGGGGGGACGGAGAAGGCUAUGUUGGCCGGGCGACGGUUGUCCCGGUUUAAGCGUGUAGGCUGGUUUUCCAGGCAAAUCCGGAAAAUCAAGGCUGAGGCGUGAUGACGAGG
rnacentral:rRNA from 1 species